AGGCUGUCGCCAGGCGUAGGUUGUGCGAGGGCUCCGUGUCUACCAGGGGGCUGGGCGACGCGCGGGUGUGGUUCGGGGUGCACUCACACCGGAUCUACAAGUCCCUGUAUGGCGCGCGGGACCAAGAGAGUCGAACCUAUGUGGCUUGGGUCAGGACGCAGAAGGUGGGAGCUACUGCGUCAAGGAUGGGGACCCUGAAGCAGUAUGUGCUGGCCCGGGACGCUGAGCCCACAGCAGCACCGGAGCCAGGACAUGUCCUCCCACGGCCAGGCGUCUCCUACUCUGAUCCGACCGACGCCGAACUGCUCGCCGCUGCCGACGAGGUCGACCCUCCCAGCAUGUCCAGGGACGCCCCGCCAGCCGCGGCCCCGCUGGAAGGACCAACACCAGGUCCAGGACCAGGACCGAUGGCCACGAGGCCUGCCUCCGGCAAAGUGGUUUGUAUAAUGUGUGUGUGUGUGUGUGUAUAUGAUGUGUGUGUUUAUGUGUGCCUGUCUGCUGAACAUUCACACCCGCUAACUGUGUGUGUCUGCUGCGUGUGUGUUUCAGCUGCUUCCCCUCAGCUGGAGGAAGACGCUGCCUGAGGAGCAGCAGGAGUGGGUGGGCCGGGCGCUGUUCCGCAGGGACCCCAGCAGCGGGAAGGCUGUGCUCACCACACCGCCCCGACUGUGGUGGUACCCACCAGGCGCCCGGCUCCUCUACACGCAGCCCCCCGCCACAGCCCACGCCUUCUUCCAGCGCCCCUUCUUCCUCUGGCUUCCGUAUCGGAUGUGGGCGUACCACCUCAAGUGCCCCGCCGAUGGGGGUAAGCUGAUGGGCGCUGGCCUAUACAAGACCGUGCGGAGGGUCUUGGACAGGAGCGGGUGGUAUUACAUGGCCACAGAGUGCCUUCAGUGCCCCUCCUGCGGCAAGAAGGUGGCGGGCUGGUCCCAGGACAUCCUGGAGCACCUGGACGUUGCUCACCGCGAGGAAUUCCCGGCCGUUCUGACCUACAAGUAUGUCACUUUUAGUCAUUCUGCGUUUACCCAGCGUUCUGUCGCUCGUGGUUAACUACGGUUAACUGUCUGUGUUCUCUGUUUCCAGGUUGUCCUGCGACAGAGCGGUGAUAGCGAUGCUCAAGGAGCGCACCUUUGGCACCGGCGUGUCUCGCCUCCGUGCCUCCCUGGUGGAGCAGCACUCCAGGGACUGGAUGCAGCACUCCAUCGCCUACCUGUCGGUGCUCCGCAAGCUGAGAGGACCCGGAGCGGCCCAGAAGGACGCCGUGUCCCUGCCGACCUUCGUCAAGGUGCCCGGGCUCACCUGGUUUGGUCGGGUGUACGUGCUGGAGGCCGUGACCAGGCUGGACGAGACCAAGGCCAGGGUGACGUCGAUCUUCGGCGACAUCCUAAAGAUGGACUCCACCAAGAAGGUGAGGUUUCUCUCUCCGUGUGCCGUCGCCUCGUAUGACGUCUG
rnacentral:lncRNA from 1 species